GUACACUCCUACGGGAGGCAGCAGUGAGGAAUAUUGGACAAUGGGUGGAAGCCUGAUCCAGCCAUCCCGCGUGCAGGAAGACGGCCCUAUGGGUUGUAAACUGCUUUUAUCUGGGGAUAAACCUACUUACGUGUAAGUAGCUGAAGGUACCAGAAGAAUAAGCACCGGCUAACUCCGUGCCAGCAGCCGCGGUAAUACGGAGGGUGCAAGCGUUAUCCGGAUUUAUUGGGUUUAAAGGGUCCGUAGGCGGACUGAUAAGUCAGUGGUGAAAUCCGACAGCUUAACUGUCGAACUGCCAUUGAUACUGUUAGUCUUGAGUAAGGUUGAAGUGGCUGGAAUAAGUAGUGUAGCGGUGAAAUGCAUAGAUAUUACUUAGAACACCAAUUGCGAAGGCAGGUCACUAAGUCUUAACUGACGCUGAUGGACGAAAGCGUGUGGAGCGAACAGGAUUAGAUACCCUGGUAGUCCCAUG
rnacentral:rRNA from 1 species